GUGAAUAUAGUUUAUUAAAAUUCUAGCUUGUGAUCCUAGAGAUGAAAACUAACCAUUUUCUAUUCACC
rnacentral:tRNA from 1 species